GCUUGGACCUCAUGAGCCCCUCCCUAUCGGUUCUGGAAUGUUAACUGCCUUGCUCUUGUGCAGGUCACCACUGAGGCUGUGAUCUCACAAGUGCAGUGACCACAUUAUGAUGCAAAGACAGAAUUUCGUGGCACUUUACCUGGAGGACUAGUCUUAGUUUUUUCUGACCGUAUUGAAAGGUUUUGGAUUUCUGUCUGAGGUAGAACUGGAAGAAGCUGAAGGGUUUUGAGAUGGUGGGUGAUGUGAAUGGAUUCGCCUUUCACCAGGGUCUUUUGGCUUCCCCUGAAGACUUAAAGAGCAAGUGAAGAGGCAGAGAGAUGACCUCACAGGCUGCUGCCUGUCGUUGAGGAGCAAUUGUAAUUCAUUUUCUCUUGAAGGCUGUCAACAGUUGAUGGAAUGAACAUGGGAGGAGAGAGAGAAACCUUCAGUUUCCCCCUGGGUGUCCAGCGAUUUGAAAUGAGCGUCCCGGGCAAGGGCCUGCUGCUGACAAGCUCGCCUGGAGCUUUGUUGUCAAGCUGCGACGGUGCGGUUGAUGAUUUAGAGUCGCCUGCCCUUGCAGUCAGAAUCAGAAAUGGACGGCGCCGGCGCUGGGAAGCAGUCAAUGAUGGCCUCUUUAUCUCCCGUUAACCGCUGGGAAGCGGUUUUCUUAUCACCGUGCGUUGAAGAAUAUCUCCGAACUGGACGCUUUGGAGGGCGAUGACAAACACAUCUUGUCUUGAAUACGUAGCCGGUGUGCAAAAAAGACACACACAAUCUAUAUGACCUUGUUCAAUCGGGAGAGCUGUAAAAGGAGCUAAAUAAGGAAAUAAAAUAACAUUUCUGGUU